rnacentral:rRNA from 1 species
GACGAACGCUGGCGGCAUGCCUAACACAUGCAAGUCUAGGGGUAGCAAUACCACUGGCGCACGGGUGAGUAACACGUAGGUUAUCUGCCCCCAUCACAGACAUAACCCCGGGAAACCGGGGCUAAUAUCUGAUGAGGUCGCGAGAUCAAAGCUUCGGCGGAUGGGGAUGAGCCUGCGGCUGAUUAGCUAGUUGGUGAGGUAAUGGCUCACCAAGGCGACGAUCAGUAGCUGGUCUGAGAGGACGAACAGCCACACUGGAACUGAGACACGGUCCAGACUCCUACGGGAGGCAGCAGUGAGGAAUAUUGGUCAAUGGGAGCAAUCCUGAACCAGCAAUGCCGCGUGUGGGAUGACAGGGCUUCGCCUUGUAAACCACUGUCGGGCGGGACGAAAGGAGGCCUCGGGCCUCUGGGACGGUACCGUCAAAGGAAGGGUCGGCUAACUACGUGCCAGCAGCCGCGGUAAU